GACGAACGCUGGCGGCGUGCUUAACACAUGCAAGUCGAACGGAAAGGCCCUGCUUUUGUGGGGUGCUCGAGUGGCGAACGGGUGAGUAACACGUGAGUAACCUGCCCUUGACUUUGGGAUAACUUCAGGAAACUGGGGCUAAUACCGGAUAGGAGCUCCUGCUGCAUGGUGGGGGUUGGAAAGUUUCGGCGGUUGGGGAUGGACUCGCGGCUUAUCAGCUUGUUGGUGGGGUAGUGGCUUACCAAGGCUUUGACGGGUAGCCGGCCUGAGAGGGUGACCGGCCACAUUGGGACUGAGAUACGGCCCAGACUCCUACGGGAGGCAGCAGUGGGGAAUAUUGCACAAUGGGCGGAAGCCUGAUGCAGCAACGCCGCGUGCGGGAUGACGGCCUUCGGGUUGUAAACCGCUUUCGCCUGUGACGAAGCGUGAGUGACGGUAAUGGGUAAAGAAGCACCGGCUAACUACGUGCCAGCAGCCGCGGUGAUACGUAGGGUGCGAGCGUUGUCCGGAUUUAUUGGGCGUAAAGGGCUCGUAGGUGGUUGAUCGCGUCGGAAGUGUAAUCUUGGGGCUUAACCCUGAGCGUGCUUUCGAUACGGGUUGACUUGAGGAAGGUAGGGGAGAAUGGAAUUCCUGGUGGAGCGGUGGAAUGCGCAGAUAUCAGGAGGAACACCAGUGGCGAAGGCGGUUCUCUGGGCCUUUCCUGACGCUGAGGAGCGAAAGCGUGGGGAGCGAACAGGCUUAGAUACCCUGGUAGUCCACGCUGUAAACGGUGGGUACUAGGUGUGGGGUCCAUUCCACGGGUUCCGUGCCGUAGCUAACGCUUUAAGUACCCCGCCUGGGGAGUACGGCCGCAUGGCUAAAACUCAAAGGAAUUGACGGGGCCCCGCACAAGCGGCGGAGCAUGCGGAUUAAUUCGAUGCAACGCGUAGAACCUUACCUGGGUUUGACAUGGAUCGGGAGCGCUCAGAGAUGGGUGUGCCUCUUUUGGGGUCGGUUCACAGGUGGUGCAUGGCUGUCGUCAGCUCGUGUCGUGAGAUGUUGGGUUAAGUCCCGCAACGAGCGCAACCCUUGUUCACUGUUGCCAGCACGUUAUGGUGGGGACUCAGUGGAGACCGCCGGGGUCAACUCGGAGGAAGGUGGGGAUGACGUCAAGUCAUCAUGCCCCUUAUGUCCAGGGCUUCACGCAUGCUACAAUGGCUGGUACAGAGAGUGGCGAGCCUGUGAGGGUGAGCGAAUCUCGGAAAGCCGGUCUCAGUUCGGAUUGGGGUCUGCAACUCGACCUCAUGAAGUCGGAGUCGCUAGUAAUCGCAGAUCAGCAACGCUGCGGUGAAUACGUUCCCGGGGCU
rnacentral:rRNA from 1 species